AUUGUUCUGCCACCGGGUAGGAAUGCCAAAAGCAUUCGCCGGCGCACCGUCAGGUCUUAGAAGGUGCGUCCGCGAAUGCUUUUUCCGU
rnacentral:ncRNA from 1 species